AUGCACAAGGUAUGGGAGGUGAGGCUGUGGAAGAAUUGAGCAGGUUGGUGUCGGAGGUGGUUGUGGCUAUGUUGGUGACGGUGGUGAUGUGGUGGUGGUAUUGAAAUUCCAUCAGGAUCAUCACACAUAUAAUUAAAAAAAACUAAGAAAAUAAAAAAUUGAUAUCUCACCUGUGAAAUAAAAAUUGGAUCUGGAUGAAUUUAAUGUGGAAUCAAGCCACCAAAUGUGGAUCCGGAUGAAUUUAAUGUGGCCGGCUGUUUACUUGAAGGGGAAGGACUGUGAGGUGGGGGUGAGAGUGGGGAUGGUGGCUGUGCAGAGGUGGUGGUUGGAGACGGAGAUGGUUGUGGCUGUGGUGUUGAUGGUGGUCUAGAAAGAGAGAGGAAGAAAGAUGAGAGAUGAGAGAUGAGAGGGAGAGAUGAAUGUGAUAAUUUACAGUGACAAAGAGAUAUAAUAGAGACAUAAUUUUUUUUAUUUUUUAAUUAUAAGGUUAUUUUAGUCAUUUAACAAUAUUUAACUAAAAAAUUCUAACAUUGUUAGAAAUUUGGACUCAAAUGGUUAAAGAAAAUGCUUAUAGGGACUCAG
rnacentral:lncRNA from 1 species